rnacentral:rRNA from 1 species
UGAGGAAUAUUGGUCAAUGGGCGUAAGCCUGAACCAGCCAAGUAGCGUGAGGGAAGACUGCCCUAUGGGUUGUAAACCUCUUUUGUGCGGGGAUAAAGUGUGGGACGUGUCCCAUAUUGCAGGUACCGCACGAAUAAGGACCGGCUAAUUCCGUGCCAGCAGCCGCGGUAAUACGGAAGGUCCGGGCGUUAUCCGGAUUUAUUGGGUUUAAAGGGUGCGUAGGCGGUUUAUUAAGUUAGUGGUUAAAUAUUUGAGCUAAACUCAAUUGUGCCAUUAAUACUGGUAAACUGGAGUACAGACGAGGUAGGCGGAAUAAGUUAAGUAGCGGUGAAAUGCAUAGAUAUAACUUAGAACUCCGAUAGCGAAGGCAGCUUACCAGACUGUAACUGACGCUGAGGCUCGAAAGCGUGGGGAGCAAACAGGAUUAGAUACCCUGGUAGUCCACGCCGUAAACGAUGGAUACUCGCUGUUGGCGAUAUACUGUCAGCGGCCAAGCGAAAGCAUUAAGUAUCCCACCUGGGGAGUACGCCGGCAACGGUGAAACUCAAAGGAAUUGACGGGGGCCCGCACAAGCGGAGGAACAUGUGGUUUAAUUCGAUGAUACGCGAGGAACCUUACCCGGGCUUAAAUUGCAGACGAAUUACCUGGAAACAGGUAAGCCGCAAGGCGUCUGUGAAGGUGCUGCAUGGUUGUCGUCAGCUCGUGCCGUGAGGUGUCGGCUUAAGUGCCAUAACGAGCGCAACCCUCGUGGCCAGUUGCCAUCAGGUGAUGCUGGGCACUCUGGCGGGACUGCCACCGCAAGGUGUGAGGAGGGGGGGGAUGACGUCAAAUCAGCACGGCCCUUACGUCCGGGGCGACACACGUGUUACAAUGGCGGCCACAGAGGGAAGCUACCCCGCGAGGGGAUGCGGAUCUCGAAAAGCCGUCCCAGUUCGGACUGGAGUCUGCAACCCGACUCCACGAAGUUGGAUUCGCUAGUAAUCGCGCAUCAGCCAUGGCGCGGUGAAUACGUUCCC